rnacentral:rRNA from 1 species
AACUAUUACCGGAUGGAUGUUUGAACCGCAUGGUUCAAACAUAAAAGGUGGCUUCGGCUACCACUUACAGAUGGACCCGCGGCGCAUUAGCUAGUUGGUGAGGUAACGGCUCACCAAGGCGACGAUGCGUAGCCGACCUGAGAGGGUGAUCGGCCACACUGGGACUGAGACACGGCCCAGACUCCUACGGGAGGCAGCAGUAGGGAAUCUUCCGCAAUGGACGAAAGUCUGACGGAGCAACGCCGCGUGAGUGAUGAAGGUUUUCGGAUCGUAAAGCUCUGUUGUUAGGGAAGAACAAGUACCGUUCGAAUAGGGCGGUACCUUGACGGUACCUAACCAGAAAGCCACGGCUAACUACGUGCCAGCAGCCGCGGUAAUACGUAGGUGGCAAGCGUUGUCCGGAAUUAUUGGGCGUAAAGGGCUCGCAGGCGGUUUCUUAAGUCUGAUGUGAAAGCCCCCGGCUCAACCGGGGAGGGUCAUUGGAAACUGGGGAACUUGAGUGCAGAAGAGGAGAGUGGAAUUCCACGUGUAGCGGUGAAAUGCGUAGAGAUGUGGAGGAACACCAGUGGCGAAGGCGACUCUCUGGUCUGUAACUGACGCUGAGGAGCGAAAGCGUGGGGAGCGAACAGGAUUAGAUACCCUGGUAGUCCACGCCGUAAACGAUGAGUGCUAAGUGUUAGGGGGUUUCCGCCCCUUAGUGCUGCAGCUAACGCAUUAAGCACUCCGCCUGGGGAGUACGGUCGCAAGACUGAAACUCAAAGGAAUUGACGGGGGCCCGCACAAGCGGUGGAGCAUGUGGUUUAAUUCGAAGCAACGCGAAGAACCUUACCAGGUCUUGACAUCCUCUGACAAUCCUAGAGAUAGGACGUCCCCUUCGGGGGCAGAGUGACAGGUGGUGCAUGGUUGUCGUCAGCUCGUGUCGUGAGAUGUUGGGUUAAGUCCCGCAACGAGCGCAACCCUUGAUCUUAGUUGCCAGCAUUCAGUUGGGCACUCUAAGGUGACUGCCGGUGACAAACCGGAGGAAGGUGGGGAUGACGUCAAAUCAUCAUGCCCCUUAUGACCUGGGCUACACACGUCCUACAAUGCACAGUACAAGAGAUCUUCGA